CAUCUCCUGCCACCCAGAUAACCACUUACAAGCAAAACAAAAAAAUACUUCCGGUGUAUUUGGGUCUGAAAAUAUAUGUUAUCCCGAUGCAAGCAGAAAACAAACAGCCAUUCAUUUCUCAGCGGUGUAGGCUAGGGUAACGCAACCUCUUUGAUAACAUCCGGAAAUCAGUAACGUCUCCUCUCGUCACGUUCGCCAGCCGGAAAUAACAUUGUUGCCCACAACUGGAUUAAUCAUUAUUUAAUACCGUGGAUCGAUUAUCACUGCGAACUACUGUCCUGUCCACCUGGACCAGAACAAUAAAAACGGAACAUAGCUUUGUGUGUCAACUAGAUAACAGUCAGUCGCCGAGGCACAACUCACACCAUCCAACUAACUAAACAAAUCGAGGCCAAUAAAGGACAUGAAAAUGGACACCUCCAAGCCAGCGACCAGACACCCCCUCUACCAGUAACACACACCGGUACCCGGGCUCUACAGGUCUCCAUGACGCCGGUGUAAGCUAGCCAGCUAACAAAGGCCCUAGCUGUCUGACUAGAGCGGAAUACGGCAACAACCGGAGGCGGCAGGGGAGGGAGGAAGCAACACAGCUUUUAAAAUAACCCACAAAACGUGUGUUUACGGCCCGGUAAAGGCAAUACAUCGGGCGAUGUGUUGUUUGAGGCGGCUAGAGGCACACUGUGCCCCCGGGUGAGGGCUACUUACAGGCGGAGAGGGCGGAUGGUUGAAGAUUUCAGCCCCGGUUCUCUAUCCAGAUUUCCAGGCUUUCACUCCGACAACAUGGCGGCUCGGAGGGGAGCAGAGACAGGCAGACGCGGUGCAUCAUGGGAACGGAGGAGAGCAGAGAGAGUGCGGUUCAUUGCGCCAACUGGGAGGGGAGGGUCUCUCACCAGUCCCUUUGUUAUACAUACGUGUGGCUCUGUUGACAUCCGUUGUUCUCUCACAUUGGGCAAAAAUACACUAAUGAUCUCAAAUACAUUCAUAUAAAGAUUAUAGUGGUGUCUAUAACACUGGUUA